rnacentral:lncRNA from 1 species
UGAUACCAUGAAAGUGGUAAGCAUGUAAUUUACCCUUAUAUGUAUCUUAUCAAUUUAUAUAAUGUAAUCUAGAUAUUUAAUUAUUUCUAUAAACAAAUAUGUUAAUUCAUCGAUAUGUAAGAUACUUAAUUGUAUGUUUGGAAACAUAGAUUAGAUUAGGUAAUUCUAUGAAUAAUUUCCUUUAAAAUAUUUUUAUUUAAUAAAUGAAAAAUGAAAAACCAUCAACCAAUCAAAUUAUAACAAUUAAUUGGAGACCUCUUCUAUGAGUGACACGUCAGCAUAAAUAACUAUAGUGACUUCUCAAUUAAUAUAUAGGAAGAUUUAUUAAAUUUGUUUUUAAA